rnacentral:rRNA from 1 species
UACGUAGGGGGCAAGCGUUGUCCGGAUUUAUUGGGCGUAAAGAGCGUGUAGGCGGCCUGACAGGUCUGCUGUGAAAACUCGAGGCUCAACCUCGAGAUGUCGGCGGAAACCGUCUGGCUGGAGUCCGGAAGAGGUGGGUGGAAUUCCUAGUGUAGAGGUGAAAUUCGUAGAUAUUAGGAAGAACACCGGUGGCGAAGGCGGCCCACUGGUCCGGUACUGACGCUGAAGGGCGAAAGCGUGGGGAGCAAACAGG